rnacentral:rRNA from 1 species
AGAGUUUGAUCCUGGCUCAGGACGAACGCUGGCGGCGCGCCUAACACAUGCAAGUCGAACGAGAGAUGAGGAGCUUGCUCUUCAAAUCGAGUGGCGAACGGGUGAGUAACGCGUGAGGAACCUGCCUCAAAGAGGGGGACAACAGUUGGAAACGACUGCUAAUACCGCAUAAGCCCACAGCUCGGCAUCGAGCAGAGGGAAAAGGAGCAAUCCGCUUUGAGAUGGCCUCGCGUCCGAUUAGCUAGUUGGUGAGGUAACGGCCCACCAAGGCGACGAUCGGUAGCCGGACUGAGAGGUUGAACGGCCACAUUGGGACUGAGACACGGCCCAGACUCCUACGGGAGGCAGCAGUGGGGAAUAUUGCACAAUGGGGGAAACCCUGAUGCAGCGACGCCGCGUGGAGGAAGAAGGUCUUCGGAUUGUAAACUCCUGUUGUUGAGGAAGAUAAUGACGGUACUCAACAAGGAAGUGACGGCUAACUACGUGCCAGCAGCCGCGGUAAAACGUAGGUCACAAGCGUUGUCCGGAAUUACUGGGUGUAAAGGGAGCGCAGGCGGGAGAACAAGUUGGAAGUGAAAUCCAUGGGCUCAACCCAUGAACUGCUUUCAAAACUGUUUUUCUUGAGUAGUGCAGAGGUAGGCGGAAUUCCCGGUGUAGCGGUGGAAUGCGUAGAUAUCGGGAGGAACACCAGUGGCGAAGGCGGCCUACUGGGCACCAACUGACGCUGAGGCUCGAAAGUGUGGGUAGCAAACAGGAUUAGAUACCCUGGUAGUCCACACCGUAAACGAUGAUUACUAGGUGUUGGAGGAUUGACCCCUUCAGUGCCGCAGUUAACACAAUAAGUAAUCCACCUGGGGAGUACGACCGCAAGGUUGAAACUCAAAGGAAUUGACGGGGGCCCGCACAAGCAGUGGAGUAUGUGGUUUAAUUCGACGCAACGCGAAGAACCUUACCAAGUCUUGACAU